CACGUAGGCACCAAGCGUUGUCCGGAUUUAUUGGGCGUAAAGAGCUCGUAGGCGGUUCAGUAAGUCGGGGUGUGAAAACUUUUGGGCUUAACCCAAAGCGUGCAUCCGAUACUGCUGUGACUUGAGUUCGGUAGGGGAGUGGGGAAUUCCUAGUGUAGCGGUGAAAUGCGCAGAUAUUAGGAGGAACACCGGUGGCGAAGGCGCCACUCUGGGCCGAAACUGGAACGCUGAGGAGCGGAAAGCAUGGGUAGCAAACAGGGAUU
rnacentral:rRNA from 1 species